GACGAACGCUGGCGGCGUGCUUAACACAUGCAAGUCGAACGGUGAAGCGCCUUCCUUUUUGGUGGGUGUGGAUGAGUGGCGAACGGGUGAGUAACACGUGAGUAACCUGCCCCCUUCUUCUGGAUAACCGCAUGAAAGUGUGGCUAAUACGGGAUAUUCUGGGUCUGUCGCAUGAUGGGUCUGGGAAAGAUAUUGUUUCGGUGGGGGAUGGGCUCGCGGCCUAUCAGCUUGUUGGUGGGGUGAUGGCCUACCAAGGCGGUGACGGGUAGCCGGCCUGAGAGGGUGGCCGGUCACACUGGGAUUGAGACACGGCCCAGACUCCUACGGGAGCCAGCAGUGGGGAAUAUUGCACAAUGGGCGCAAGCCUGAUGCAGCGACGCCGCGUGAGGGAUGGAGGCCUUCGGGUUGUGAACCUCUUUCGCCAGUGAAGCAGGCCUGCCUCGUUUGUGGGUGGGUUGACGGUAGCUGGAUAAGAAGCGCCGGCUAACUACGUG
rnacentral:rRNA from 1 species